rnacentral:lncRNA from 1 species
AAAGGAGAAAGAUGCAGGGAUCCGGAAUGCUGUGUUGUAUGUCCUAUUAGGGGAUCCUGUUGUUUCCCCUAGCAAAAUGGGUCUCCCCAGGCAUCCAGAAGAGAAUUUAAAAUAGUGAGAAUUUAAUGGUAUACAUAUAUCAGCUCAAGCUUGAUGCUUACAAGGAAGUACACUGCUCAAGACUUUCCUUAAGUUCUUGUAUCCAUGCAAUCUUUGUUUCAUCCGCUACACUUCAAUCAGUUCUUGACACAUAUAUGUUAUGUUCCUUCAGAUUGGCAGUUCUUUGUUGUGGGGAAGGAUGAUUUCUGUUAUCUCCCAGGUAUGGAUCACAUCUGGCACUGUCCUUGGUCAACAUAGCCCACCACCCAUGCCACCCAGACCUGAACACAAUGCUACUCAAUGUGACUCAAUCGCUACUACGUAUCAGCACAUUGAUUGCUUUGCUACAGUGAGAUUGUUUGUUUCUCAGAAGAGGCUUUUGCUGUUACGCCCCCUGUUGACCUGAACGUGCCUUUUGACCCAGGCCUCAUUGGCCUUGAAAACGAGAUGGAUAUGUUUUUCUUUGAUAUGGGAAGAACGGGAUACAUAAGGCCUGAAGACCGAGUUGCUUGACAACUUAAAGCAAGACAUAUUGUUCAAAAGGAAUGGAAAAUGGAGACUUGUUUGUAAUCAAGAAAAGGAACGGAAAAUGGAGACUUUUAAGUCACGGAACUUAAAGGAUUGUUUGUUACCUUUUCUGAUUUUACAUAUGUAUAGGCAUACUCGGGUUUAGUAUGUAAAGCAAUGUUUUAUAUAUUUAGAAUGUUUGAUGUUCGUGUGUGCAUGUUGCUGGAGCGUAGACUCCCCGCACACCCAGAGCUGUUACCUUGCCUUUUAUAACUCUUAAAAAUAUUUGUUUUAUAAAUAUUACAAAAUUCAGAUUGAGACUUCAUUUAUAACACUGUUCUUUAUUUUAAUAAUUACAGUAAAUCUGGAAGAUCUUUGUAGUUAA